AAGUUGGCCUGAGCCUGGGAGCAGGAAGGAGGUGUUCUUUCUGCCUGCCACAGGAGCCUGCGUGCCACUGUAGCAUUGUGACCAGCAGGUGACUUCAUUAGCAAGCACACGUGACCCUUAAUGCAUUGGGGAAAUGAGAACCCCUUGUGUGGCUUCUAUCCUGGUUUUGCUUGUUGAACUGUGAAAACUUAUGGUUCUAGGCAAGGCUCCUCUUACUCCUUAUCCACCCUCUAUACAUUUUUUUUCUGCAUCCUAACAAACACAAGCAACUUGGUGAUGACUCUGAAAAUCUGAACACUCCAGCCAUUCUGCUAAUAUCUGUGAAAACUAUAUAUGCCUGACCCAGCUUCAGCCUCACAGCCACGUGUGGAAGCGCCACCCCAAGCAGGAGCUUCCAAUUCACUGCAACCCAACUUAUUGCAUGGUUGAGCAGCUACUGGAAUGAGAAGAAGCUGGGCAAGAUUUUGCAGGCUUUGGUGUAAGGAGAACAACAAAGAGGAGGCGUUCUUCUCACCUCUGCUGGAGGAAGCUGACACGCUGUGCUGCUUCUCCUCCUGCUCCUUGGAAAGUUGCUGCUGACAAGUCUGGGCCCAUGUGGGCUUCCUAGUCAGGUAUCUGGACCUCUUGGUCAAAUAAGUACCAAUGUAACUGGAACUCAGAGACACGCCUAAAAGUCAGACCUGGCAUCCAUGAGUGCCUUCCACGGACCCAAGAAAGAGAGUGGUUGGAGGCCAUCUUUUUCUUCUCUCCCUACCUACCAUUCUCCCUUCACUUCUUCAUUCUGUCUGUGAUGGUUUAAAUACACUUGGCCCAUGGGAAGUGGCACUAUUAGGAGGUGUGGCCUUGCUGGGGAAGUGCAUCACUGUGGGAAUGGGCUUCGAGGUCCUAUGUUCAAUCUCUGCCCAGUACAGAAGAGGCCUUCCUGCUUACUACCUGUGGAAGCCAGUCUCCUCCUAGAUGCCUUUGGAUCAAGAUAGAGAACUCUUGACUCCUCCGGCACCAUGUCUGCCUGCAUGCUGCAAUGCUUCCCACCAUGAUAAUAGUCUGAACCUCUGAAAUUGCAAGACAUCCUCAAUUAAGUGGUGCCUUUUAUAAGAGUUGUCUGGGUCAUGGUGUCUCUUCACAGCAAUCAAACUCUAACUAAAUAAUAAAUAAAUAAAUAGAUAGAUAGAUAGAUAGAUAGA
rnacentral:lncRNA from 1 species